GUGUGUGUGUGUGUGUGUGUGUGUGUGUGUGUGUGUGUGUGUGUGUGUGUGUGUGUGUGUGUGUGUGUGUGUGUGUGUGUGUGUGUGUGUGUGUGUGUGUGUGUGUGUGUGUGUUUAUCCACCAACUCAUUUACUUAUUAAUAUAUUUACACUGAGUCACAUUCGCUUUAUGUGUGUGUGUCUGUGUGUGUGUGUGUGUGUGUGUGUGUGUGUGUGUGUGUGUGUGUGUGUGUGUGUGUGUGUGUGUGUGUGUGUGUGUGUGUGUGUGUGUGUUUGUAUGC